rnacentral:rRNA from 1 species
AUUGAACGCUGGCGGCAGGCCUAACACAUGCAAGUCGAGCGGAGCGGCGGACGGGUGAGUAAUGCCUAGGAAUCUGCCUGGUAGUGGGGGAUAACGUCCGGAAACGGGCGCUAAUACAGCAUACUAUCAGAUCAGCCUAGGUCGGAUGAUCUAGUUGGUGGGGUAAAGGCCUACCAAGGCGACGAUCCGUAACUGGGCUGAGAGGAUGAUCAGUCAAACGUGAAGUGAGAGACGGUCCGUACUCCUACGAGAGGCAGCAGUGGGGAAUAUUGGAGAAUGGGCAAGAGCCUGGUCCAGCCAUGCCGCGUGAGUGAAGAAGGUCUUCGGAUUGUAAAGCACUUUAAGUUGGGAGGCGUUACCAACAGAAUAAGCACCGGCUAACUUCGUGCCAGCAGCCGCGGUAAUAC